rnacentral:rRNA from 1 species
GUGGGGAAUUUUGACAAUGGGCGCAAGCCUGAUCCAGCCAUUCCGCGUGCAGGAUGAAGGCCUUCGGGUUGUAAACUGCUUUUGUACGGAACGAAAAGCCUCUGGUUAAUACCCGGGGGUCAUGACGGUACCGUAAGAAUAAGCACCGGCUAACUACGUGCCAGCAGCCGCGGUAAUACGUAGGGUGCGAGCGUUAAUCGGAAUUACUGGGCGUAAAGCGUGCGUAGGCGGUGAUGUAAGACAGUUGUGAAAUCCACGGGCUCAACCUGGGAAAUGCAUCUGUGACUGCAUUGCUGGAGUGCGGCAGAGGGGGAUGGAAUUCCGCGUGUAGCAGUGAAAUGCGUAGAUAUGCGGAGGAACACCGAUGGCGAAGGCAAUCCCCUGGGCCUGCACUGACGCUCAUGCACGAAAGCGUGGGGAGCAAACAGGAUUAGAUACCCUUGUAGUCC